rnacentral:rRNA from 1 species
GACGAACGCUGGCGGCGUGCUUAACACAUGCAAGUCGAACGGAAAGGCCCUGCUUUUGUGGGGUGCUCGAGUGGCGAACGGGUGAGUAACACGUGAGUAACCUGCCCUUGACUUUGGGAUAACUUCAGGAAACUGGGGCUCAUACCCGAUAGGAGCUCCUGCUGCAUGGUGGGGGUUGGAAAGUUUCGGCGGUUGGGGAUGGACUCGCGGCUUAUGAGCUUGUUGGUGGGGUAGUGGCUUACCAAGGCUUUGACGGGUAGCCGGCCUGAGAGGGUGACCGGCGACAAGGGGACUGAGAGACGCAGCAGACGCGUACGGGAGGCAGUAGGGGGGAGUAUGGCACAACGGGCGGAAGCCUGAUGCAGCAACGCCGGGUGCGGGAUGAUGGCUUUCGGGUUGUAAACAGCUGUCGCCUGUGACGAAGCGUGAGUGACGGUAAUGGGUAAAGAAGCACCGGCUAACUACGUG